AUUGCAAUGCCCCCUUAUCACAUCGAUUUGGGUUUAUGGGAACAGCUUCGAGUAAUUUCUUGUUGCUGUGGUUGUUCCUGACAGAAAGGCCUUGGAGGACUGGGCAGCUGAGCAUCAUUUGACUGAUGACUACAAAUCAUUGUGUCAAAACCUGAAGGCAAGAAAAUACAUUUUGGAUGAGCUGAAUAGUACGGGUUGGAAACAACAACUUCGAGGGUUUGAGUUGUUAAAAGCAGUUCAUUUGGAACCAAACCCCUUUGACAUAGAGAGGGAUCUCAUGACUCCAACUUUCAAACUGAAAAGACCGCAAUUACUCAAAUAUUACAAGGACCGAGUUGAAAAACUUUAUAGUGAGGCAAAUGGUGGAAAUGUAUAAGAACAGAGCUGCAAGCAACUAUUGGAUAAAUCUAGCUACAUCACUUUCCCAAACUUUCGGUUGCCUGCUCUCUCGUUGUUGAAAAACUACAUAUGACUAAAUGAAUAUCUA